CGAGCCAAGAUCCCUGGUCUAGAUCCUAGUGGAGCUCGGCUACUUUCCGGGCAGCUCAGCAAAGCAGUGGGAUCCACAUCUUCCGGGGAUCUCCAAGCCUCAGAGGCCCGGUCUUUUUAAAUUAGGCUUGCUGUUUUCUAUUUCUCCCUGGGCUGCAGAAAGCUAGAAGAUUUUUAUCUAGCUCAAAUAAGGCUGCUGGUCUUCCCUCUUUUUUUUCUGCGAGGGUGUUUUUGGCUGCAAUUGCAUGUAAUCCCAAUGGUGUAGACCAGUGGAGAUGGAUCUAGGAGUUUACCAACUGAGACAUUUUUCAAUUUCUUUCUUGUCAUCCUUGCUGGGGACUGAAAACGCCUCUGUGAGACUUGACAAUAGCUCCUCUGGUGCAAGCUGGUAGCUGUUGACAACAAAAUCGAGCAAGCUAUGGAUCUGGUGAAAAGCCAUUUGAUGUAUGCGGUUAGAGAGGAAAUAGAGUGCUCAAAGAGCAAAUCAAAGAACUAAUAGAGAAAAACUCCCAGCUGGAGCAGGAAAACAAUCUGCUGAAGACACUGGCCAGCCCAGAGCAGCUCGCCCAGCUGCAGACUGGCUCCCCCCCCUGCCACCACACAGCCACAGGGAACCACACAGCCGCCGGCCCAGCCAGCGUCCCAGGGCUCGGGACCAACGGCAUAGCCUCCUAUGCACACGCAGAACUGGCUGCUGCUGUCUGAACUCAACAGACCUGAGAUGAUGUACUAGGGGGAAGCCGCCUCCACAGUCACCCAUUUCAUCGCUCGCUGCAAAAGAGACGUGAGACUGACAUACGCCAUUAUCUCUUUUUUUCCAGCAUUAAACACCCAUAUGCUUUUGGCUUGAAGAAAUUUCCUAGCUGGGUGCGUUAAAGGUUAAUCAGAGAAUUAGCAUGGAUGUACUGGGACCUCAUGCAGCUUGGCAGAUGUGUGAGAAGUGGUUUAAUUCAUACUGAGGAGAGAUGUGUGCCUUUUCAUCCCUCCCUGCUCCCCACCCUCACUUCCAAGAGUUCCCGCCUGCUUGCACGCAGUGUGCUCCAGGGGGUUAUGGAGCAGUGGAGCUCACUGGACUGUUGUCUUUCCUCUUGUCCCUGUGAGGAACUUGAAAGGGAGGUAGAAGGCAAGACUGGUGCAUAGUCAAGGGGAAACAUAGUUCCUUGUACAAAUCGACAACUGUCGCCAGAAUCCAUAAAAAAACGAGUACUGUGCGCCUCACCCUGAAACAGUGGAUGACACAAAACUAUUAGAGUGACUAAACGGUGACAGGUAGCUGGCACCUAGGCUAUCUUACCAUGAAGGAUGUUUUGCUUAUUAUAUAUUUGUGUAUGUAGUGUAACUAUUUUGUACAAUAGAGGACUGUAACUACUAUUUAGGUUGUACAGAUUAAAAUUUAGAGGUUUCACUGGCUGUCUGAAGAGGUGUGGAUUGUGUUUAUAUAGGGGAUCUACAUAAAAAAAUGCUACGUGAAGAAAACCACACCUACAGAAAUUUUAAGAAUUUGACACAGUCACUUUGUGUAAUCGGAAAUCUGCUAGCUGCUGAAUACCUUGAAGUAAAUCUCUGUUCACUGAAGUCUUUUGAUUGAGCUGGUUGAAGACUUUGAAAAAAUGAUCAGUUCUAGCUAACGAGAUGAGUUUCCCAGUAGGGGUUUCUGCAUAUCACCUGUAUAGUAGUUAUAUGCAUACGAUUCUGUGCAUGUUCUCUACACAGUUGUAAGGUGUCACUGUAUUUAACUGUUGCACUUAUCAACUUUCAAUUAAGCAUAUAAAAUGUUG